rnacentral:tRNA from 1 species
UCCCUGGUAGCUCAGUCAGUAAAGCGUCCGCCUGCAAUGAGGGAGACCCGGGUUCGAUCCCUGGGUCGGGAA